rnacentral:rRNA from 1 species
AUCUGCCGUGGGCGCUGGAGAACUGAGGGGGGCUGCUCCUAGUACGAGAGGACCGGAGUGGACGCAUCACUGGUGUUCGGGUUGUCAGGCCAAUGGCACUGCCCGGUAGCUAAAUGCGGAAGAGAUAAGUGCUGAAAGCAUCUAAGCACGAAACUUGCCCCGAGAUGAGUUCUCCCUGAGACUUAGAGUCUCCUGAAGGAACGUUGAAGACGACGACGUUGAUAGGCCGGGUGUGUAAGCGCAGCGAUGCGUUGAGCUAACCGGUACUAAUGAACCGUGAGGCUUAACCUUACAACGCCGAAG